GGACUCCCUAUAGGGUCCUGCUGAUCGCUACCUUCCCUGGCUUCUUCCCCGGUACCUGGCCCCUCACCCAGCUCAAGGAUGGUUGAGUUGAAGACAGCAGGUUGGUGAGAGGCUUCUGAAGCAACAGCUGCUGGAGGAUCGAUGCUCUCAGCUUCUCCCUCUCCCUGCCAUCUGCUGCCCCUGGCCUUGUUCUGGAGCCCAGACCACUCGGCCUGGUGGUAGGUGUGCCCCUAACCUACCACACCAAUUGGUGAGCUACUGGUUCCAAGCAAGCCCCGUGUCUCUUACACUGAGGACAGUUCGACUUGCUGCAAGAGUGUGUUUACACUGUCAGCUCAAAAGUCACAGGCAGCUCCCCUUGGGCCCUCUUGAAGCUGGGAGAUGAAUUCAUUUUGUUCCUUGGAAACUGAAGGUAAAACUCAAACACGAGAUUCAACUGCCUCG
rnacentral:lncRNA from 1 species